rnacentral:rRNA from 1 species
UACAGAGGUCUCAAGCGUUGUCCGGAUUUAUUGGGCGUAAAGAGCUCGUAGGCGGUUUGUCGCGUCGUUCGUGAAAACUCACAGCUUAACUGUGAGCUUGCGGUCGAUACGGGCAGGCUAGAGUUCGGUAGGGGAGACUGGAAUUCCGUGGUGUAGCGGUGAAAAUGCGCAGAUAUCAGGAGGAACACCGGUGGCGAAGGCGGGUCUCUGGGCCGAUACUGACGCUGAGGAGCGAAAGCGUGGGGAGCGAACAGG